UGAUCAUUAAACACGAAAUAAAUACUGUAAUUGAUCAGUCUGUUUAGAUUACUUGUGACACAAAGCAAACGCGAUCAAUCAGUAUGGUACACAAAGCAACAACACUAUGGACUUCGCCCAUCAUCACAACUAAAGGGGGAAAAAAGAGUGUUUUCCCCGUUUCCAAAAAUGCCAGAUACAAGGACUAGCUGAUCGUCGUGCUGAUGGCAUGGAAGGGAAGGUCCUCUAGAAUUUUAACAUCAAUAUGGCUGCUGAAUGGAAGAUACAACAGUGACAAGACAGCAAUUUUUACAGACUUUCUUCAGCAAUCAUAAUCACAAAUGGCCAAUAGCAACCUUUUCCCAAGAGACUACUACUUAUCUAGAGCUCUUCGAUUUCUUUUUAGAUGGUUUGCUAGGACCUGCAAUAAAUUCCUCAGCGUUGAUCUUAUCAAUUGAUUUUUGCUUCCUGAACUCCUUUGCUUUUCUCUUCAAUGACGAUGCCAUGGCAGUGACAUCAUCUUUAUCCACGUUGGACACAUCUUGGUUAUGUGUUUUUGGUUCCUCGGGUGGAACAAAAGCUUCUUCUCGUUUUUUCUUGUUUUCAGCAACCUUCUCAGCCUGUUUGACUUGCUUCUCUUCCCACUGCUUUGCCAUCUUCUUCUUGUCACUUAAGAAGUAUUCACCACUUUCCAGUUGUUGAUCAAUCUUGCUAGGUGGCUGAGGAGGUGGGAAAGGCGUAUAUGGUUUCUUUUUAGAUGGUUUGCUAGGACCUGCAAUAAAUUCCUCAGCGUUGAUCUUAUCAAUUGAUUUUUGCUUCCUGAACUCCUUUGCUUUUCUCUUCAAUGACGAUGCCAUGGCAGUGACAUCAUCUUUAUCCACGUUGGACACAUCUUGGUUAUGUGUUUUUGGUUCCUCGGGUGGAACAAAAGCUUCUUCUCGUUUUUUCUUGUUUUCAGCAACCUUCUCAGCCUGUUUGACUUGCUUCUCUUCCCACUGCUUUGCCAUCUUCUUCUUGUCACUUAAGAAGUAUUCACCACUUUCCAGUUGUUGAUCAAUCUUGCUAGGUGGCUGAGGAGGUGGGAAAGGCGUAUAUGG
rnacentral:misc_RNA from 1 species